UUUUUCGUAAGGAAUUUUAAAUUAAUAGAUUUUAAAAGUCACUGCAGGCUAAGAAGCCACGACAAGAACCACCAUCAGAAUUUGCCUGGAAUACCUAUAUAUUUGGGUAAAUUUCUCUCUUCUUGUGUUUCCCAGGAUAUCCUGAGGUUCCCGGGCAUGCCAGGAAGUGACCUUCCUUAUUCACCUGUGACCACACUUCAGCCAGAUGGAGAAUCAUAAAACUUUGGACUAAAAACUCAGCAACAGUCCUCAAGUUCUGCUCCUAUAUACUGCAAGCAAGUGACUCAAAUUCUCUGAGCCUCUGAUCCCCCACUUUUAAAAUGAGGAACUCAAACUAUGCCAGAACUCCACAGAGCACAUCCCUCAGGACAUCACUUUUCAAGAUGCGACUUUGCCAAAUGCCUGAGCCGUAACUGGCCCUCAGAACACGCGUCCCGAAUGAAUAAAUACUGUUGCUGUUGCAGAAGACCCAGACUGGGAAGUAGGAGCCCUGGGCUCUGACCCCAGCUCUACUCCUCCCAGACAUUAUUCCAAAGUAUUAGAAGAAGCAAGGGACCAUGUUUUCUGCUCCUGUUUCUCUUGGAACAUGGAGCUUGGAAUUGGUCAUCCAGUAGGUAAUCAAUAAAUACAUCUUCAUCAUUUGAACCUGGACAAAUUAAAGAAGCUAUUUGGACUGUGACUUCUGAGGAAGAGACCGGAUGGAGAAGCUGAAGCACAGAGAGACUAAAUAAUGGAACAGACAUCAGCAAUGAGUGAGAGAUCUGGGAUUCGGACUUGCUCAUUGCAG